ACUUGGUCAUUUAGAGGAAGUAAAAGUCGUAACAAGGUCUCCGUAGGUGAACCUGCGGAGGGAUCAUUAAUGAAUGGCCAUCUAUGGCCUUCGACCCUUCAAAUUCCGUGGAGGUAAAGUGUGUUUCGGCGCUUUGGCGCCGCCUUUAUGCUGUAAAGUCUGUGUCUGAAUCUAAAAUAUAGUCUAAAACUUUCAACAAAGGAUCUCUUGGCUCUCGCAUCGAUGAAGAACGCAGCGAAGCGCGAAAUGUAGUGUGAAUCGCAGAACAUUGUGAAUCAUCGAAUCUUUGAACGCACAUUGCGCCUCCCUUAACCGGGGGGCAUGCCUGUCUGAGCGUCAUUUAAACCUAUGGACCCGAUUGGGUUCCGUGUUGGGCCUCGCAUCUAUCUUAGCGGCGUUGCCUCGAAAGUAUCGGUUUCACAGAGCGGACGGGAUCCUUAUGGACUGACCGUUUCGUGGCCGGAGUUUGACUCUGACUUGACCUCAGAUCAGGUAGGGAUACCGCCUGAACUUAAGCAUAUCAAUAAGGCGAGGAACAGAAACCAACUGGGAUUCCCCUAGUAGUGGCGAAUGAAGCGGGAAAAGCUCAAGUUUGAAAUCCGGCGGGCGACCUCCGGAGUUGUAAGCUGAUGAGGUAUCGAUCGACAUGGUCCGGGCCCAAUUUCCUUGGAACAGGAGGUCAUGGAGGGUGAGAACCCCGUCCGUGGCUCGGGUGCCAUUGUCCUUGUGUCGUGUCCUCUAAGAGUCGGGUUGUUUGGGAAUGCAGCUCAAAAUGGGUGGUAAAUUUCAUCUAAAGCUAAAUACUGGCGAGAGACCGAUAGCAAACAAGUAGAGUGAUCGAAAGAUGAAAAGUACUUUGAAAAGAGAGUGAAACAGUACGUGAAAUUGUUGAAAGGGAAGCGUUUGGCAUCAGCCCUUGGCGUCCGUCGAACAUCCAGGCUUCUGUCUGGUGCACUCGUCGGCCGUCGGGCCAGCGUCGGCUCUGCCUGUCGGAGAAAGGCCUGAGGGAUGUGGCUCACCUUCGGGGGAGCGUUAUAACCUCGGGCGUCAUGCGAUGUGGUGGGGCCGAGGUCCGCGGACUCUGUCCUAGGACGCUGGCGUAAUGGUUCCAAGCGACCCGUCUUGAAACACGGACC
rnacentral:rRNA from 1 species